AGAGUUUGAUCCUGGCUCAGAAUCAACGCUGGCGGCGUGCCUAACACAUGCAAGUCGAACGAGAAAGGGUAGCAAUACCCGAGUAAAGUGGCGCACGGGUGAGUAACACGUGACUGACCUACCUUUUAGUGGGGGAUAACCUAGGGAAACCUGGGCUAAUACCGCAUAACACCUACGGGUCAAAGUCCGCCUCGGCGGACGCUGAAAGAGGGGGUCGCGGUCGAUUAGUUAGUUGGCAGGGUAAUGGCCUACCAAGACUGUGAUCGAUAUCCGGCCUGAGAGGGCGCACGGACACACUGGAACUGAAACACGGUCCAGACUCCUACGGGAGGCAGCAGUGGGGAAUUUUGCGCAAUGGGGGAAACCCUGACGCAGCAACGCCGCGUGGAGGAUGAAGUCCCUUGGGACGUAAACUCCUUUCGAUCGGGACGAUAAUGACGGUACCGGAAGAAGAAGCCCCGGCUAACUUCGUGCCAGCAGCCGCGGUAAUACGAGGGGGGCAAGCGUUGUUCGGAAUUAUUGGGCGUAAAGGGUGCGUAGGUGGUUCGGCAAGUCUUGUGUGAAAUCUUCAGGCUCAACUUGAAGUCUGCACAAGAAACUGCCGGGCUCGAGUAUGGGAGAGGUGAGUGGAAUUUCCGGUGUAGCGGUGAAAUGCGUAGAUAUCGGAAGGAACACCUGUGGCGAAAGCGGCUCACUGGACCAUUACUGACA
rnacentral:rRNA from 1 species